GCGCGAAACCUCCGCAAUGUGAGAAAUCGCGACGGGGGGAUCCCAAGUGCCAUUCUUAACGGGAUGGCUUUUCUUAAGUGUAAAAAGCUUUUGGAAUAAGAGCUGGGCAAGACCGGUGCCAGCCGCCGCGGUAACACCGGCAGCUCUAGUGGUAGCUGUUUUUAUUGGGCCUAAAGCGUUCGUAGCCGGUUUGAUAAGUCACUGGUGAAAUCCUGUAGCUUAACUGUGGGAAUUGCUGGUGAUACUGUUGAACUUGAGGUCGGGAGAGGUUAGCGGUACUCCCAGGGUAGAGGUGAAAUUCUGUAAUCCUGGGAGGACCACCUGUGGCGAAGGCGGCUAACUGGAACGAACCUGACGGUGAGGG
rnacentral:rRNA from 1 species